UUCCACCAGAGUAGUGGGCUUAAACAACCUUAAGUAUUUUUCAAUCUCAGGUUGAAGAUUGUAAAUAAAAAUGCUUAAGGCAUAGCUCUCAAGUAAAUGUAACUGGUUGAGGAGACUCACAAAAUUAUCAUGAUACUAGUCCACUAUACUAACCUGUUUGAAAGCCACCAACUCAGUCAUAGGGUCCAAACAUCUGGCAACACCAAAGCGAUCUUUCAAGCCUCGGA
rnacentral:lncRNA from 1 species